UACGGGAUGUGCAUGUCCUUUUCAACAUAACUGGGCGUACGGGGUGUGUAGGUAGUUAUGAAAGUUGUAUUUUACUUGUGUAGAGUAGUACCUGUGAUACAAUACUUCAUAACUGGAGUAUUAGGGGCGUUCAUAUCAUCACUGAGUUUAGACUUCAAAUGCUGUGAGACUCGUGGUAAUGCCGGUAGGAGAAGACGUGGUUCGACCUAAUACUGACGCUAAUGCACAAAAGCAUGGGUAUCGAAUGGG
rnacentral:misc_RNA from 1 species